CAGUAGCCGCGGUAAUACAGAGGGUGCAAGCGUUAAUCGGAAUUACUGGGCGUAAAGCGCGCGUAGGUGGUUCGCCAAGUUGGAUGUGAAAUCCCCGGGCUCAACCUGGGAACUGCAUCCAAAACUGGCGAGCUAGAGUAUGGUAGAGGGUGGUGGAAUUUCCUGUGUAGCGGUGAAAUGCGUAGAUAUAGGAAGGAACAUCAGUGGCGAAGGCGACCACCUGGACUGAUACUGACACUGAGGUGCGAAAGCGUGGGGAGCAAACAGGAUUAGAUACCCCAGUAGUCCCUGUCUCUUAUAA
rnacentral:rRNA from 1 species